rnacentral:lncRNA from 1 species
UGUUAUAAGGAAUUUGACCUUCAAAUCUAUCCUUAAGUUUUGUUCGAACUUUGUCCGCAAAUAAUGGGGGGAGACCGCUAAUGAAUCUUUCUUUCCAGAAGUCAUUAUUGCAGUCAGGGCGGAUCAUAACUUUGAUCAGGAAGGUAUCCUUAUACCAUCUGAAGUCUGCAAGAUUUUUGCAGCGAAGGUUGUUAAGGAUUUCUAGACUUCGGUCUUGGAAGAGUUUUGGUUCUCCUACAAAAUGUCUAGCUAUGUGAUAGAGGAGAGUUGCACAAGCAUCUUCUUGUGCUUCUUGAACUAUGGUUUCUCGACCAUCUACGGUACGAGCCACCUGUUCAAU